UUAAGUUCAGCGGGUAUCCCUACCUGAUCCGAGGCCAUGCUUUCGGAGACUGGCCGCCCGUCGGGACUUCUCGCCGCAUUUCUCUGCGUUUCGAAGCCACGACAGGCGCCGAUGUGUUUCGAAGGUCCCCUAGCGGGGAACCAUCAACGCAAGGCAAAGCCUUAGACACAAACGGCGCUCGAACAGGUAUACCUCAAGGA
rnacentral:misc_RNA from 1 species